AAUCAGCCAGCACCGAGUCAACGCCGCGCCGCUCGCUCAUCGCGAUCUUCAGUUCCGCCCUCUUCAGAAGCGCGUCACCUCUCUCGUCCUCCGCGAGCGAACCCGCUGCGAGUGGAGACAACGCGGCGUCGAGCGCAUCGAGCGCGUUGGUGCGGAAGCCCUGGAGGUCGAGCGCCAUGGACUUGAGGAGGUGCGAGGCGGCGUCCUUGGGGUCGAGCGCGAUGGCCUUCUCGGCCUCGGCUAGGGCUUGUUUGGCGAGGGAAGUUGCGGAGGAAGCGCUUUUGGAUCUUCUGGCUUGGGCGAGGAGCUGCGCGCCUUUGACGAAAUGGCGCUUGGCUUG
rnacentral:lncRNA from 1 species